rnacentral:rRNA from 1 species
GACGAACGCUGGCGGCGUGCCUAAUACAUGCAAGUCGAGCGAACUUGCGGGAGCUUGCUCCCAAAAGUUAGCGGCGGACGGGUGAGUAACACGUGGGCAACCUGCCUAUAAGACUGGGAUAACUUCGGGAAACCGGAGCUAAUACCGGAUAAUUCAUAUCUACUCAUGUAGGUAUGCUGAAAGACGGUUUACGCUGUCACUUAUAGAUGGGCCCGCGGCGCAUUAGCUAGUUGGUGAGGUAACGGCUAACCAAGGCGACGAUGCGUAGCCGACCUGAGAGGGUGAUCGGCCACACUGGGACUGAGACACGGCCCAGACUCCUACGGGAGGCAGCAGUAGGGAAUCUUCCGCAAUGGACGAAAGUCUGACGGAGCAACGCCGCGUGAGUGAUGAAGGUUUUCGGAUCGUAAAACUCUGUUGUUAGGGAAGAAUAAGUACUAGAGUAACUGCUCGUACCUUGACGGUACCUAACCAGGAAGCCACGGCUAACUACGUGCCAGCAGCCGCCGUAAUAC